rnacentral:rRNA from 1 species
AUUGAACGCUGGCGGCAGGCCUAACACAUGCAAGUCGAGCGAGCGGCGGACGGGUGAGUAAUGUCUGGGAAUCUGCCUGAUGGAGGGGGAUAACUACUGGAAACGGUCGCUAAUACCGCAUACCAUCAGAUGUGCCUAGAAGGGAUUAGCUAGUUGGUGGGGUAACGGCUGACCAGGGCGACGAUCCCUAGCCGGUCUGAGAGGAUGACCAGCCACACGAGACGUGAGACACGGUCCAGACUCCUACGAGAGGCAGCAGUGGGGAAUAUUGGAAAAUGGGCGCGAGCCUGAUGCAGCCAUGCCGCGUGUAUGAAGAAGGCCUUCGGGUUGUAAAGCACUUUCAGCGGGGAGGCGUUAACAGCAGAAGAAGCACCGGCUAACUCCGUGCCAGCAGCCGCGGUAAUAC